GGUGAAGCCUGACGAGGUAGCAAUACCAGUAUGCACAGGUGCUGCAUGGCUGUCGUCAGCUCGUGUCGUGAGAUGUUGGGUUAAGUCCCGCAACGAGCGCAACCCUUGUCAUUAGUUGCUACGAAAGGGCACUCUAAUGAGACUGCCGGUGACAAACCGGAGGAAGGUGGGGAUGACGUCAGGUCCUCAUGGCCCUUAUGGGUAGGGCUACACACGUCAUACAAUGGCCGGUACAGAGGGCUGCCAACCCGCGAGGGGGAGCUAAUCCCAGAAAACCGGUCGUAGUCCGGAUUGCAGUCUGCAACUCGACUGCAUGAAGUCGGAAUCGCUAGUAAUCGUAGAUCAGAACGCUACGGUGAAUACGUUCCCGGGCCUUGUACACACCGCCCGUCACGCCAUGGGAGUGGAUUGCACCAGAAGUAGGUAGAUUAACCGCAAGGGGAUCGCUUACCACGGUGUGUUUCAUGACUGGGGUGAAGUCGUAACAAGGUAGCCGU
rnacentral:rRNA from 1 species